AUUGAACGCUGGCGGCAGGCCUAACACAUGCAAGUCGAGCGGUAGCACAGAGAGCUUGCUCUCGGGUGACGAGCGGCGGACGGGUGAGUAAUGUCUGGGAAACUGCCUGAUGGAGGGGGAUAACUACUGGAAACGGUAGCUAAUACCGCAUAACGUCGCAAGACCAAAGUGGGGGACCUUCGGGCCUCAUGCCAUCAGAUGUGCCCAGAUGGGAUUAGCUAGUAGGUGGGGUAACGGCUCACCUAGGCGACGAUCCCUAGCUGGUCUGAGAGGAUGACCAGCCACACUGGAAUGGAGACACGGACCAGACUCCUACGGGAGGCAGCAGUGGGGAAUAUAGCACAAUGGGCGCAAGCCUGAUGCAGCCAUGCCGCGUGUGUGAAGAAGGCCUUCGGGUUGUAAAGCACUUUCAGCGGGGAGGAAGGCGGUGAGGUUAAUAACCUCACCGAUUGACGUUACCCGCAGAAGAAGCACCGGCUAACUCCGUGCCAGCAGCCGCCGUAA
rnacentral:rRNA from 1 species